ensembl:lncRNA
AAGGAAGCCAAUUGAAGCAUGCGGUUUGUUUUCAACAAGGGCAUCCUCUCAGCUCUACUGAGGUGUGGACUAAACCUUGAGCAAGAUUGCAGGUUGAGAAAAUCAGCAGUCUUUCCCCAUCCGUGGUAUGUAAUAAUACAUUAGGCUGCAAUAACAUUCACUACCAGGUCUGUUCCGGACAACCCCUGGCAACAUCUCAGAGAAGUACAGCACCGACUUCACACCGGCUGGCUGGACUUUCCUCAUCUGGAAUGUCAUCUAUGCCUGGCAACUGGCGUGGCUCCUGUAUGCGCUGUUGGGGAUCUGCCGGAGAAAUGAACUUGGAUGUGUCUUCAUGAAGCCGGACCUGCUGCCAAUACCUUUUUACAUGGCAUGGAUUCUGAAUAAUGGCCUCAAUGUUGGAUGGCUGUUUCUAUGGGACAGAGAAUACCUACUCCCAGCCCUGCUGUUGUUGGCAGCCCUCACUUUUACCACGGAUGCUGCUCUCUUCAUUUCACACAGAGCCUUGAGUAUCCAUUCCAUGUGGUUCAUGAAGGGCCACCAAGUUGAUCUCUGGCUCAUCCGAAUCCUAGUGCAGAAUGGGCUGGCACUGUAUGCCACAUGGACCACCAUCGCCACUCUGCUGAACUUUGCCGUUGUGUUGAUCUACAAGUGGGAUGUGUCCAAUGAGACAGCAACCACUGCCUCUCUGAGCAUCCUCACCCUCAUGCUUGUCCUGUGGUUUUGUCAGGAGAACUUCUUUCUUGAUAAGUACGUCCGUUAUAACCUCACGAUCUACCCGGUGGUUAUAAUAGCUCUGACUGGCAGCAUGUGCAAGGACUUCUCAGUUUCCUCCCCAACCACCAACGGUGUUUUUAUAGGUGAAUCUCUCAUAAUCUUUGGAACAGUGUGCUUCUGUUUGCAAUUGAGGUUAUUGCCUGUGAGCCUUGGGGUUGAAAUCAAACCUGGUGUUGCUUCCUGUCCGCUUCCCACUGCAAUAAAUUUGCUCUGUGAUCACAUGUUUGUGAUGUCCCAGAGAAACUUGCCAGCCCUGUGAGCUUUUGGUGCUCUGCUGGUAGCUCCCUGCCCCCUGACACAGGGCAGGCAUUCAGAACACAGGUCUGUGAUGAAGUCUGUGGGCUUUGCUUUGUAUUGCUUGUGAUUAUGGAGCAGUGCUUUAAUGUCUGACCCAAGCAGGAGCAAUAUCUGAAUUCCACAAUGCAAAGCCCUGCACGUGCUCCUCUCCUGUGCAGUCUAGGCUAGCACUGACAAGUUUGGCGAGGAUUAUUUUGUUGCUGAGGGCUGCUGUAGCUGAGCUGGAUGUAGUCAUACACUGUAAAAGGGCUUAAGCUGCAUACAUGCUGUACAGGCAACAAUAUGGCAAAAGCUGUGUCAUUAUGAGUAGUUAUAUGCAAGCACGAAAGAGGCAGAGAUGUGCAAACCCUUUCUUGCUGAAGCAGAAGAGAGCGUAUUUUCACCCUUCAGCCCUCCCAGUGCUGCAUACCAGUGGCUGAAGCCAGUUGCUGGGCUUGCACCUCCAGCAUUGCAGCCGCCUUGAUGUGUGUUCCCCUUCUGCUGGAUGGGCAGGGUGUGCAGCUGGGAGUCAGGAUUUGCCUAGGAGCACCCAGCAGGACUAAGCAGAGCUCAUCUGCCAGAGCCACAAGUCCAUUGAAUCCUGCCCUGGUGGUUGUGGCCAUCUGCAAUGUGGAGGUGUGUAAAGUCUGGCAGACAGCUCUGCUCCUGCAGGAGGUGCUUUUCCUGCCUUUAUACCAGCAAACUUUCAUUCUUAGUGGUUCAGCUUGUUUGGCAAGUAGAGCAAGAAUGUGCUUUUCCCAAACUGGUGCCUGUUUCUUUAUAUAGUUCAACUAUUCUUGGACUUGUUUGUUAAUGUCAUGUGUUUUUAUGCCCAUGUCUAUAAGAUUUCCAUGUUUUUUAGACAUGCCUUGACCUGGAAGCAUUGGUGUGUUACUGGUUAUUGGUCAGAGCAGAUUUGCCUUACCCUAUGGCAGCCUCCUGACAUCAUGGGGGUAAUGGCUCCUGGACAGAGGCCUUUAGGUUUGCUUUAGUCCUUUCCCUGCUGUCUGAGAAGCUAGAAAGUGACAAGAAGAACUGUCAUUCUUUUGCAUGCUAACAUAUUUCUUUGUUUCUCUUCUAGUUGUACUGCUGGCACUGACUUGUUUUAUCUUUGCUGUUCGGCUGGCGUUAGUCAUAAGGAAACACAGUAAUGAACUGCUGGAACCACCAACAUCACCACAGCCAUCAAGCACAGUGGCCUGAGACCUGUGGUAUGGUGAUGUUAUGACAGAAGCUUUAAAGGGAGAAUAGAAGCUGAGCAUCCUGCAACCACUGGUGCCUUCCCUCCAGUAACAAUUGCCUUUUUUUUGCCUUUUUUAAUAUAUAUAUUUUUUCUCUUUUUUAAUAUAUCCUGGAUUAGCACAGCUUUUGCCUGCAAACCUGUCCUCCUCCCCUAUUCUCUGAGCUCAGCUAUUUGCAGCUCCACCUCAAACAUGCAGCCUCCUCUGCUCAUUUUGUUUUGGAUCAAUGGAGGAAGAGGUCCUUUAUAUGAGUAGCUCUGUAUACCUUUGUGAUGACAGAACUGUGAGGAGGGCUGUCAACAGAUGCUUGGCACAGAGUUGCCUCUCACCCUUCCCUGCCCACCACAGGUCCCAGGAGAGGAGGGACGGCUGAAUACUUCUGCCACAGCUGCAGGUCUUUAGCCUAUUUCAGGUUGCUCUAACUCUAGAAACUGACAAUGUGCUCAUGUCUCAGCACACAGUAUUAUCUCUGUCCCUCUGCCUUGUUUUUUCUUCUGACUUUCUUGCUGAAGUUUGUACUGUGUUGGUGCCUCCAUCAGUGGCCCCACCCACUCCUCCUUUCAGACAGGGGAGAUCUAGGUGAUGUGAGAGCAGUGGAUUGCUUUUCCUGAGCUGUGCCCAUUCGGUGGCUGCCUCCUCCAGGAGGAUGCUUUGCAGCCCUUCUGCUGGGAUAUCAGCCAUUCUGACACCACAGUACCUAAUGGAGGGCAAACCCUGCUUCAUAGACCACUUCUUGUUUUCUGAGCUGCACAGAGUGAUUUCAUCCUGGAUCAGUGCUUUGUAAUGUGACUUCACCACCGCGGGCUUGCUUUGGGAAGCCUGACUGAGAACUGACUGGAUUGUCAGACCUCUGCCUCUAUUUGCUGUGCCUGAUAGAUUUGAUGAUGCCUUGCUGGUGUCUGGAAAGUCUUCCUGGAUGCCUGGUGCUUGGAAAUGCUGAAUAUCUUGCAGUACUCUCACAAAGGUGAAUUCUAUUAAAAUACAAUGCUAUUGUUUACAUUUAAUGAAGAACAAAGUCUGUAUUUGAUUCUUGUCAUUCUAUCGUUUCUUAUUUUUAAAUAAAGCAGCUACUGCCAACA